GGGUCGAUGCCCGAGCGGUUAAUGGGGACGGAUUGUAAAUCCGUUAGCAUAGCUUACGUUGGUUCAAAUCCGACUCGACCCA
rfam:Chrysochromulina sp. CCMP291 CAF.Contig9290, whole genome shotgun sequence.